rnacentral:rRNA from 3 species
ACUCAGGUGUUGUUGGGUAGGGGAGCGUUCUGUAAGCCUGCGAAGGUGGCCUGUGAGGGUUGCUGGAGGUAUCAGAAGUGCGAAUGCUGACAUAAGUAACGAUAAAGCGGGUGAAAAGCCCGCUCGCCGGAAGACCAAGGGUUCCUGUCCAACGUUAAUCGGGGCAGGGUGAGUCGACCCCUAAGGCGAGGCCGAAAGGCGUAGUCGAUGGGAAACGGGUUAAUAUUCCCGUACUUGGUGUUACUGCGAAGGGGGGACGGAGAAGGCUAUGUUGGCCGGGCGACGGUUGUCCCGGUUUAAGCGUGUAGGUGUGUGUUCCAGGUAAAUCCGGUUCACUUUAACACUGAGGCGUGAUGACGAGGCACUACGGUGCUGAAGCAACAAAUGCCCUGCUUCCAGGAAAAGCCUCUAAGCAUCAGGUAACAUCAAAUCGUACCCCAAACCGACACAGGUGGUCAGGUAGAGAAUACCAAGGCGCUUGAGAGAACUCGGGUGAAGGAACUAGGCAAAAUGGUGCCGUAACUUCGGGAGAAGGCACGCUGACAUGUAGGUGAAGUGAUUUACUCAUGGAGCUGAAGUCAGUCGAAGAUACCAGCUGGCUGCAACUGUUUAUUAAAAACACAGCACUGUGCAAACACGAAAGUGGACGUAUACGGUGUGACGCCUGCCCGGUGCCGGAAGGUUAAUUGAUGGGGUCAGCGCAAGCGAAGCUCCUGAUCGAAGCCCCGGUAAACGGCGGCCGUAACUAUAACGGUCCUAAGGUAGCGAAAUUCCUUGUCGGGUAAGUUCCGACCUGCACGAAUGGCGUAAUGAUGGCCAGGCUGUCUCCACCCGAGACUCAGUGAAAUUGAACUCGCUGUGAAGAUGCAGUGUACCCGCGGCAAGACGGAAAGACCCCGUGAACCUUUACUAUAGCUUGACACUGAACAUUGAGCCUUGAUGUGUAGGAUAGGUGGGAGGCUUUGAAGCGUGGACGCCAGUCUGCGUGGAGCCGACCUUGAAAUACCACCCUUUAAUGUUUGAUGUUCUAACGUGGACCCGUAAUCCGGGUUGCGGACAGUGUCUGGUGGGUAGUUUGACUGGGGCGGUCUCCUCCUAAAGAGUAACGGAGGAGCACGAAGGUUGGCUAAUCCUGGUCGGACAUCAGGAGGUUAGUGCAAUGGCAUAAGCCAGCUUGACUGCGAGCGUGACGGCGCGAGCAGGUGCGAAAGCAGGUCAUAGUGAUCCGGUGGUUCUGAAUGGAAGGGCCAUCGCUCAACGGAUAAAAGGUACUCCGGGGAUAACAGGCUGAUACCGCCCAAGAGUUCAUAUCGACGGCGGUGUUUGGCACCUCGAUGUCGGCUCAUCACAUCCUGGGGCUGAAGUAGGUCCCAAGGGUAUGGCUGUUCGCCAUUUAAAGUGGUACGCGAGCUGGGUUUAGAACGUCGUGAGACAGUUCGGUCCCUAUCUGCCGUGGGCGCUGGAGAACUGAGGGGGGCUGCUCCUAGUACGAGAGGACCGGAGUGGACGCAUCACUGGUGUUCGGGUUGUCAUGCCAAUGGCACUGCCCGGUAGCUAAAUGCGGAAGAGAUAAGUGCUGAAAGCAUCUAAGCACGAAACUUGCCCCGA